rnacentral:lncRNA from 1 species
UGAAGUAGGUGGAUCUUCUUAUCUUAAUAUGACACUAUUAAUCCAAGAUAUAAUCCAACAAUCUUCAAAGAUGGGUGUGGAUAUGAUUCCAACCUCACAUCGCCAUGAGAACUAAGGAGAUAAAAUAAGAGCGAGGCUCUAUCUAAUAAGAAAAUCGAGAUAACGUCAAAGAGUGAUUUAUUCGGUUGAUGUAGUUUUUUUGUUGUUGUUUUUUUGUGUUUCGUAUUAUUAUCAGUCUGUGUCUUGUAACCACAAUUUGGUUUAAUGAAAUAAUUACGGUACGUUUUUCAAUUGCCAUUACUUAACAGCAUUGAUUUAUUUUUUUCCAUUUUUUUCUCCUUUUCUCAAUUGAUGGUCGACUCUCAAUCAUCGAACUCCUCAUGAUCCCAAACCCCAAAUGUUAGGCAUAUUCGUAGUGCCAUAGUUUCUAACUGAAUGUACUUUGCAAAUGUGAAGAUCAGCUUCUCCGUAGUGUCAUAGUUGUCACCAUUUCCCUUGAGAUUCUUUUGUUAGAACUAUAACACAUUAAUAUAAACAUAAUGGAUCAUGUUUUGUCAUGUUAGAUCGUUAAUAAUAAAAACGAGAUGCAGAAACAUAUACAAAUCUAUCAAUAUGUUGAUAUCUUUGAAUCGUGUUGUUUCGAUCUUCCAAAUUAAUAUACAAAAAGGUGACUUUUUUUUUCUAAAUAUGGGAUGUCAGAGAGGUUAUGUAUGUGUAAUUUGGAGACCAUAAUACUAAUAUAAAUUUUUUGCACAUUUACCCCAUCAUUAAUUAGAAAUUAGUUGCUAGACUAUCUACACAUAUUUGACCAAUACUUCAUUUCAUUUAAUAACUGAAUCCCAAGAAGCCUUAACUGUAACAGCUCGAUUUUCAACGGUGUUGUAAAAAGCGAUUUUAAAAUCUCAUUUUCAUAAAUUGGGUCCGUAAAUAUUAAAUAUGAAUAUUUACGAAGUUGGUAUAAAAGAAUAUUAAUAUUUGGUCCUUCAAUUUUGUCAAUUAAUUGCUUAAUUAGGGUACAUGAACUAAAUUAUAAAUGUUUGAUCGCUAUAAGUUUUUAAUUGACCAAAGACUUUGGGGCUUAUAUUGCAAUUAGUCAAAGGUCCAAAAUGAUAAAUAAACAAUUUUAUAAUAUAUAAUAGUGGAUGGUGAUGGGAACGUCCACUAAUUUUUAUUAAUGGUGAUUAAGUUUAAUUAAUUAAGGUUUAAUUAAGUUAAAUAAGUAAUUAAAUAUUUAAUUAAAGUAUAUAAGGCAAAUUUUAGUGGGGUUUUUUUUAUUUUUUUCAUUUCACCUAACUGUACAUGCUUUUAAAACCUAAGAACUACCAUUUUUCAAGCUCAAGUUAUUCGGUCCCUAAUUGAUAAAAAAUUGGAUCAAAUCGGAGAUUAAUGGGGAAAAGUCAAAAUUGUCGAUUAGUCCCUAAAUAUUCAGCUGUUUGUUGUUUAGAUUAGACAAGUUCAUAUGAUAUUUCUUUAUAUAGGUUGUUGUGUAUUUGAUUUGUAAUUAUAUAUGUGUUUGGUUGUGAAUUGAUUCAAAAUGUAAGAUUUGGACUAAAAUGAAAAGUGAUGGUUACAUGUGAAAUUGAUGCAUGUGUGAACUUAGUAAAGGUUAGGAUAUGAUUGGCAUGCCAAUAGGGUUUUGUGCUCACUUGUACGGGAUUAAUUACAGAUGUUACCGAGAUUCAAUACUUGUUGCGGAUACUCAAAUACAUAUGAUAAAGGUUUAGCUCAGACAUGUAACUUGAUACCGUUUUAAAGGUUUAGCCCGAACGGGUAACCUAACAAGAAUAUAUUCAGCUCGGACGAGCAACUGGUGUGAUAUAGAUACCUAUGUAUCCGAGUUCGUUUACAAGGGUUCAUCAAGUAAAAUACUUUAUAUGAAACGAGAACUGGAAAUGAGAAUAAAUGAAUUUGAAUCAAAUGAAUGAAUAUUGAAUGAAUUAAGUAUAAUGCCUUUGAUCAUGUGUGUGGACAUAUUAAUCUUGAAUUGAAUGAGUUGUGUCACAUCCCAAAAAUUGGGUUAGAAGAUAUGGGGCUAGUAAAACCGAGAGUGACCGCGUUCUGGAUUUUUAGUUAAGGCUAUGAAAAUUAUGUUAAAUGUGUUAAUUUGAUUUAGUGGAUAGGUGUUGUGCUUAUGUGUGUGCUGUUCUAGGUUUGAAUCUUUUCUUUGAAUUUUUGUUAUUUAUGCCUUUACUUCUAUUUCUGAUCCUCUAGCAUAAAUAAUAUUUUUGUUCAAUUGAUGACAAGAACGAGUUUGUUAGUUAAAUGGUAAGGUGUUAGCUUACUUUUUAAUUUUGUGUUUGAAUCCUCAAAAAUAAAAAUAAUUUUAUGUCAAUUUUGGUGUCGUCUCCGAGUUUGGUUUUUAUUAAAACUUCUUAAAAUUGAGUUAGUUAGAAAUGGGAUAUGAUUUGAAUUCUUUUGAUUAUAAAUAAGUUUUUAAUUAUCUCAAUGCUUUUUUUAUUAUUAUAUUACUAAUUGAUGUUAGAAUAAUAUUUUUAUUAUUAAAAUUUAAAUAUUAAAAAAUAUUUUAAUAAAUCUUGAAUUGCACUUUGUAUUCAAGUUAAAAAACACUUUUACUAUAAUUUAAAUUAUUAAAUGUUGAGUUAUACUUUACUUAUAUUGCAAGAUUUUCUUUCAAAUAAUAGUUAAAAGUUCUCAAAAAAUUCAAUUGCCAUUAUUAUUUUUAGGCUAAAAUUAUGAGUUGAAUUAUUAUUGUUAUUAUAAUUUACUUUAAAAAAUAAUAUAUUUAAAUUAUAUUCAAUAAUUUGAAUAAAAUUAUGUCCCGUAGAAAUAAAUUAUCUAAUGAGAAAAGGAAACACUUGAAAUUAUGUGAUAAUACAGGGAAGCUUUUGGUCAUUUUAAUAUUGUCUAAAUAAAUUUAUUUCGGUCUAACCUGUUAAAAAAAUUUAAAAACUCAAGUUUCACAAAUUUUCAGCACAUGAAACCCCAAAGGAACAAAAUCAAAGUUGAGUUGAUGGAUUGAACAUUGUAAGCCUUGGCAGUAACAUGGUUAAAGCUCCAUGAAAUUGAAAGAUGGCAUUGCCAUGAGCUAUGAGUUUUUAUCAGAAACUUUUUCUUUCCAAGUACCCUCUUAGAAAACAUGCCAAGCUUUGUAUUCAACCCUUUAGAGAUGACCAUUGAUCCUGACUUUAGAAAUCAAGGGUUUCCUUAAAUCUACACAAAUGGCUAAUCUGGCGAACCUUCCCCUUGUUGCCUCCGCUUUAAGUUGUGUAAUUUGCUCAGUUGUUGUCGCUUGCAUAUGAGCCAUCUGGCCUCUUAACCUCUGAACUUCAGCUUCGGCUCGACUCCCCGAAGGCAUAUAUUGUUGCGAACUAGAUCCAAAAUAUUGGGAUGGGUUAACAAAAGAUCCUUGAAAUCGAACCCGACCAUACCUUUCAGGACCCAAAACUUCAGUGAUAAUCCGGUUAUCAAUGUCGUCAAUAUGAACAGAACUAUCACUGGAAGCAAUCGCUUCGUACUCCGCCUUUUUAUCCUUUAAUUUUUCCUAAAAAAUAAAUCACAUAGUUAGGAACGCAAUAUAUAUUAAAAAACCCAAUGCAACAUAACUUAAAAAUAUUUGCAUUACAAUAAAUGAAAUAAAUCAUUAGAAAAUAAACACUAUAAAUAAUUAAAACAAGUGAAAUUGUAUUAAGCAAACGUACCAUAAUUUCUGCAGCUUCAAGAGUCAUAGGGUUUCCAUCUUUCUUCCUAUGUGUAAUGUCAAAAAGUUGAAGGCGUCCAACUUUUUGACCGGACGACUGUUCCUACAAUACAAUAGUAAAAAUAUUAAUUGAUAGAAAGUAAUAAAUAUCUGCCAAUAUUAAAAAAAUUCAAAAUACCUCUGCAUGAGCUACACACGCAAAACUUUUCGACCCAGCUGUGUGAGUGAAUUUUUGUUGCUGCCUACUAUUUUUUCCAACUCGUUCACGAUCCUACAUUAUGAAAUUAUUAGUACGUUAAUUAGGAAAUACUAUACACUAAAAUAAUUACAAAAUUUUAUAAGUUACGCAUACCUCUCCUUUCUUCGAAGUCCAAAAUCUAACGACCUCUUCCCACUGGUACCUCAGCAUUCCCGGCGGGACAUUUUGUAAUCUCUUGUCGAGUGUUUUUUUGUCUUAAAAUAGUCUUUCUUUAAAGUGCUCUUAUGGUCUCUCCAUCUUUUUCCCAAUGCCUUUUUUACAUAAGCAUCGGAGACAUCUAGAGCAAAUCUCGCUUACAAAAAACACAACUUAAGAAAGUAAAUGUAAACGAAACUUAAACCCAAGUAUUAUAAAUGACAUACACGUUUUGUUACCUUAAUGUUAUCGAGUGCUUGGUUCUUGUUACUCUCGGGCACUUUAUGCCAUGACUCGAAGUUAAUUGGCAACAUAUUUGCAUUCCGUACUAGAAUGCCCAUGUAUCCUGCUAAAAGGCGAGCUUCUGAUCCAAUAGGCUGACCAAAGCUAUUACUGGAUACUUGGACACGCUCGACUGGAUCUAGCUCGUAUAAAUCGCUCAGUACCGUACGUCCGCGAACUUUCCGCGUCCCACUAGUUUCAUCUGAAAAAUAAAAGUAUUGUAAUAUACGAAAUUUAUAAAAAUAAACAAGAAGUCAACACACAUGUAAAUUAAAUGUUAAAUUAAUUUGAACUUCUAUAGGUUCCUCAGGUGUAACCAGAACAUUCGAAGAUCCAAUAGCAGUCUGUUGUUCAGUGCUGUUUGUUUCCGCCGAGUUUGGAGUACCUUGAACAAUACGGUACGAUCGCACUUUUUUUCUAGGCAUUUUAUCUGCAAUACAAAUAAACUAGUUGAAAACAUAGUAUACAAUUACAACAAUAAUAUCACAUAUAAAAUAGUUGAAAUAUCAUCAUUCGUAAAUAUAAUUAGAUAAUCGUAAAAGCUUACUACAUUAUAAUUCGUAAAUAUCUUCAUCCUGGUGGACCCAUUGAAAUUGUGUACUAGUACUAGGGAUGUUUUCGUUUAAGUUCUGUUCUGGAAAUGACAAAGUUUGUGUUCUAUCAUCAAUGUCAUCUCUACUUCCACUGCCCAUGUCAAACAAGUCUCUGGGGAUGUUACGGAGUACAACGUACCAACCCUCAUCAGUUGGAUCUUUUGAGUAAAAAACUUGUUUGACUUGAGAAGAAAAUACAUACAGCUCAUCAAUCAAUUGUUGUCCUAUGUGAAUCAAUCGAGCGAAGUUUACCAUUGUGAAACCAAAUUGAUCUUGCUUGAUUCCACGUGCAGUAUUAACAUCGGCCCAAUCACCUCGAAAUAAGACAACUUUCCAUUUUCCGUAGUAAUCCAACUCAAUUAUGUCAGUAAGAAGUCCAAAAUAUUCCACAUUUCCCUCCACAGGAUUAUUGUCCCUAGCACUAGCAUAACUUGUAAUUGAGGAAUUAACAACUAUACCACAAUUUUGCAUUCUCCUCAAUCUCUCGCGAUAUUUUGUAUGAAAUCUGAAUCCGUUUAUAAGGAACGCACUACAUCUUUUAACCACCCGAUUUGGACCUUAGGAAAGCCAUUUAACUUCACCGGUGACAUUCUUCCCACUCCAAACCUAUUGAAUGGAAAGUAAACUGAGUAAUUAAAAAUGUUUUGAGUAAAUAUUAUUAUUUGUCGGUGAAAGCUCCAAUUACAUACCGUUUGGCUUAACCAUUCAUGAAAAGAUUCUGUAAACAACUUAUUGAUAUCUCAAUGUUGUGUUCUUCGGGAGUGCAAACGAGAUCUCAAUAUUUGUUUGUACUCACUAUGUUAAAAAUAUGUUCAGUUUGUUAGACUAUAAACAAUUUUUAAAUGAUGAAUAUUUAUCAAAUUUCUAGAACUUACUUGCGUAAAUGUUCCAUUGAUUCGUGGUGAAACAGAACAUAUCGAUGUGCUUGUACCCACGAUAAAUCAUCUAAUUCUGUAAUUUCAACUUUACUGAUUGGUUCUCCAAAACUUUGGAACAAAUAAUUAUCAGCAAAGUUAUGAUCCGUGAGUCCAGCAUUUCUAUUUGGUCUGUUCAACCUUGUUUCAACAUCUUCCAAAUAUCUUGAACAGAAGGUCAUACAUUCCUCUGCCAAGUAGCCUUCAGCAAUCGAUCCUUCUGGAUAACGCUUGUUGCGGCAAUAAGACUUUAAUUUGGAUAGGAACCUAAACACGAUAUACAACAUUAUCAAAAGUUGUAACUAAAUGCAUAUAGGUGAAUGAAGGAAAAUUUUAAAAAUUGUAAUUAACACCUUUCUAUGGGAUACAUCCAUCGAUAGAAAACGGGUCCGCCAAGAAUUGCUUCAUGCGGGAGAUGGAUAUCAAGUGAACCAUAAUAGUGAAAAAGGAAGGUGGGAAGAUUUUCUCCAUGUUGCAUAAAGUUAAAGCGGCUCGAUCCUGUACCUUCUAAAGUUCUUGAACAUCCAAAACUUUGCCACAAAUGGCUUUCAUUAUAUUGGAUAGUUCAAUUAUACAAGAUGUCACCUUCUUCGAAAUACAACAUCGUAGAGCAACUGGCAGUAAAUCUUGCAUCAAGAUGUGAUAGUCAUGUGAUUUUAGCGAAUAUAGUCUUCGAUCUUUAACACUAACACAUCGAGAUAUAUUUGAUGCAUACGCAUCUGGAACCUUUAUAUCCUUCAACACCAUGCAGAACACUUCUUUCUCUGUCUUCGACAUUGAGAAAAUAGAAGGCGGCAACCGAUAUUUACCAUUCGGAAGUGGAUUCGGAUGAAGAUCAGGUCGAAUUCCAAUCUGAACUAAAUCAAGUCGACUCUGAAGAUUGUCUUUUGAUUUUCCGUCUACAUUCAAAAUUGUACAGACAAUGUUCUCGCAGACAUUUUUCUCAAUAUACAUAACAUCAAGAUUGUGUCGUAAAAGGUGGUGCUCCCAAUAUGACAACUCAAAAAAAAUACUUCUUUUUUUCCACAAGUCCGCCUCAUUAGGAUCAUCCUCUUCAUCGGAGUUAUCAUUAGCUUCAUCAUUUGAUCUUCUAUUUCUUUGCAUGUUUUGCGGUUGAUUCAUCUUCCCAUAACUGACAUUCAUAUCUUCCAACAUUAACAAGAUUUCAGAUCCACUUGUCUGCGAAGGAGCUUCUCUGAACUCUUCAAUACCGUCAAAUGCCGAACUCUGAAAUCUAAAUAUAUGAUUUUUCGGUAACCACCGACGAUGCCCCAUGUAAGAGAACUUCUUCCCAUUGUAUAACCAUUGCGAACAUGUUUGUGCAGCACAACAAGGGUACGCAUAACGACCCUUGGUACUCCAACCGGAUAAAUUGGCAUAAGCGGGGAAGUCAUUAAUGGUCCACAUCAAAGCUGCACAUAAAUUAAAGUUCUCCUUUCUCAGCACAUCGUAUGUCUCGACACCAGCCCAUAAUUGUUUUAACUCUUCAAUAAGUGGCUGUAAAUAAAUGUCGAUAUCAUUCUGGGGCCCUUUCUCUCCAGGGAUAAUCAUAGAUAAGAUAAGGGAAUAUUGCUUCAUGCAAAUCCACGGAGGCAGAUUGUAAGGAACAAGCACUACUGGCCAAGUACUGUAUGCAGUACUCAUGAUCUUGUAAGGAUUAAAUCCAUCAGAUGCUAGGCCAAGCCUCACACUCUUGGGAUCGCUUGCAAAGCUUGGAAAUUUAUUGUCAAAUGAUUUCCAAGCUAAAGAAUCUGCCGGAUGCCUUAAUAAUCCAUCAUCGGUUCGUCCUUCAUGGUGCCACGUCAUUGACUUCACUGUCUUCGACGACAUGAAAAGCCUUUGAAGCAUUGGUAUCAGCGGAAAAUACCGCAAAAUCUUGACCGGCUUCUUUCUUGGCUGUGCAUCAGUUUCAUCGUCGUUCCCAUCUUCUGUGUUUCUAUUUAUCCAACGGGAGUCGCCACAUACAUGACAGCACUAUUGGUUUCUCCGAUCGCCCCAAUACAACAUGCAAUCAUUCGGGCAACUAUGGAUUUUGUUGUACCCAAGACCUAAGUCUUUUAUCAUUUUCUUCAUAUCUUUGCAUGACUGAGGGAUUUUUGCAAACGGAAACAUUUCUCUUAAAAACUCUAACAGCAUUGUCAAUGAGUUCCCGGUCCACCCUCCCAAACAUUUUAACUGGAAAAGACGAAUGCAGAAAGACAUUUUUGAAAAUUUCGAUCCCUCAUAUAAUUCUUCGUUCAUCUCAUUAAGUAGCGCGUAGAACUUUGCCGCUUCUCCAUUCGGCUUUUCAUGAUGUACACUUCUUCUGGGUUCGGUAAAAACAUUUCCACCGAGAUUACAAUCAUCAGAUGGCACAAAGUCGGGUGGGAACAACUGUAAACCAUGACUGUGAAUAUUAAAUGCUUCCCGCAACAUCCCUUCCAUGUCAUCCCCUCUAAUAGACUGAUGGUAAGCAGUACUAUCAUAAGAUACAUCCAUCCUUGAAGAGGAAGUACUAGGCGGGCAUUCUCCAUGAAAAAACCAUUGUUUAUUACCACGAACAAACCCAUCAACAAUUAGAUGCUCGUAUACAACUUCACGAUAAUGCCAGUUUAUGUUGACACACUUCUUACACGGGCAAAGAAUCAUGUUCUCUUGGCUUGCAUAUUGAAAUGCAAAAUUUAGAAAAGUUUGUACUCCAUUUCGAUAACCGUCGCUUACCCUUGACAAAUUCAUCCAAGACCGGUCCAUUUCUUAUUUCUUCAAGCCUAAUCUUGACAAUAAAUUGCACGGGUUUAGGAUUUAGGAAUAAGUAUAAUUAAGCUAUGUAAGUUAUGUAUUAUGUAAGUUAUUUAUUAUGAAAAUUAUGUAAGUUGUGUAUUAUGAAAAUUAUGCUAUAUAUGUAAGUUAUGUAAGUCAUAUAAGUUAUGUAUUAUGUAAGUUAUGUAGGUUAUUUAUUAUGAAAAUUAAUGUAAGUUAUGUAAUUUAUGAAUAAUUAAAAAAAAGUAAGUUAUGUAAGUUGUAAGUUAUGUAAGUUAUGUAUAAUAUUAAUUAAUUAAGUUAUGUAAUUUAUGUAUUGCAUUAAUGUAAGUUAUGUAAUUUAUGUAUAAUAUUAAUGCAAGUUAUGCAAGUUAUGUAUAAUAUUAAUUAAUUAAGUUAUGUAAUUUAUGUAUUGCAUUAAUGUAAGUUAUGUAAUUUAUGUAUAAUAUUAAUGCAAGUUAUGCAAGUUAUGUAUAAUAUUAAUUAAUUAAGUUAUGUAAUUUAUGUAUAAUAUUAAUUAAUUAAUAUUAAUGUAAUUUAUGUAUAAUAUUAAUGUAAGUUAUGUAAUUCCGGUGUUUUAAUUAAUUAUGUAAUUUAUGUAUAAUAUUAAUGUAAGUUAUGUAAUUUAUGUUUAAUAUUAAUGUAAGUUAUGUAAGUUGUAAGUUAUGUAAGUUAUAUAUAAUAUUAAUUAAUUAAGUUAUGUAAGUUAACUAUUUUAAUACAAAAGUGGUAAACGAGUUUAAUUAAGUUCAAACUCAAGUAACUCAAUUAUAUCUUCAAACUUAUUUAUCUUCAAACUUAUUUCUACAAGUUUACCACUAAGGUAUUUUCAUCAUUUUCAAACUUAUUUAUCUUCAAACUUAUUUCUACAUGAUUAACUGACGCUGAUACAUUACAACAUAAGAAUGAAAAUUUACCUUCCACGCCAAAGAAUAGACGACUUAUGCAGCGAAAGAGGCAGCAAGCUUGCGGGAAGAAAUUGACUGCAUAUGACCAAUGAAUUUUGUCAUAUAAACAAAUAAGAUGUUUCAUCCAUGAAAUGCACUGGAUUAAGCAUUUCUAUAUUAUUUGACUGCAUAUGACCAAUGAAUUUUGUCAUCUAACUAUAUAUGCACUGGAUUUUUUUAUUUUAUUUCAUUUAAGCUAUAUACAUAUUUUAAUUAUGCUAUAUUUUUGGUGAUCACAACACGAAACCAAAUUUCCAAUAAUUUCGGUCAAGACUUGACUGAAAACGUGGCUUCUACGUCUCUCAAGUCAAAUUUAACAACAUCAGUAUUAACAUAGGCACUAACAUUAAUUUCAAUUAAUUAACUACUUCAUACUAUAGGAAUCAAUUUAUAGUUAAAAAAUUUCGGAGAAGAAUCUAUCAAAUAUAGGGGAGGUUAGGUCAUUUGGCAUGAAAAUUUUAAAUCUAAAGUUAGAUAUAUUUAAUUCAAUUUAUAAAUGCUAAACUGAUUAAAUGAUUCGCCCAUAAUUUAUUCAAUUACUCAAAUAUAUAAAGUUAUUUAAGAAUUAUAUUCCGAAUUUUAAUAGUUUAAAACAAUUGCAUUUGCGGAAUAGCAAUUCUUAAAUUUAAACAUCAAAUAAUGUAAUAAGCUGCAAAGUCAAGUGCAAAUUUAGCUAAAAUGGUAAAUAAAACUCCCUUCUAAACAUGAAAAAUAAUAAUUAAACUAUACAACUAAAAUAUAACCAAAAAAAUUAAACUAUACAAAAAAAAAUAUAACCAACUUAAAGAUCCAGCUAGCAAUCUGUUUUGUUCUUUUUAUUUUUGCCUUUCAAUAAAUUAGCCUUUCUGGGUUGCCUGACCCAUCAUCACGUUUGUAUAUUGUACAUACAGAUGUUGGAACCGAUAUUUCCCAAUGGAGGACUUCUGCAUCUUGGUUACUAGGAAUAUUCCAAAUUUACCUCACCUAUAUUAACCCAAAUUUAAAGCCGAGCCAAUCUGACUUGAUAAGUUAACAACUCAAAUACAUUUAAGCAUAACUUCAAUUCAUUUCAACUGAAAUGGAUUAAACCUAAUACUUAUCGGGAGUAAAAAAAAGUAAUUCCCAUGCGCAAAAAAUAUUCAACAAAUUUGUAAUGAUAAAUGACAGGAAGUUGAAAUUAUUCAAACAAACCGGAUAAAUGACUGGAAGUUGAAAUUAUUCAAACAAACCGGAUAAAUGACAAGAUUAUCUAAGUUCAAAAGCUUCAGCUUUAAACUCAAAUAGAUGAAAUCCGUAAUGAUUUCAACUCAAAAAAUAUUCAACAAAUUUGUAAUUAACAUGCGCAAAAAAUGUCAAAUGAAUAAAUAUUAGAACCCAUCAAUAAUUUAUUCCUUCUGCUGAAAAUUAUUUCAUUCAAAUUGCCCAUUCCCAAUUGAUUCAUUCCAAAUAAACAAAACCCUGAAUCCCAAAUAAACAAAACCCUAAAAUUUUAUUUUUAUGACAGAAUCGGUUUAAUCGAAACCUUAAAUCCCAAAUAAACAAAACCCUAAAAUUUUAAUCGGUCAUCGACAGAAAUGGCUUACCUGUGAUACAAAUCUCGCAGCUUUGCCCAACAAUGGUGUAAAGAUCGAUUCCAAACUUCUGUUGAUUCCUGAGAUGUCGGCUCCUUUUUUUUUCUUGCUAUUUUUUUUAUUUUCUUCCCUGUCGAAUCGCUGCUGUUACUCUGCUUAAGUUUCUUCAAAUUUUGGUAAAGGAGACGGAGGGGAGGGAUUAAGUAAAUAUGUCCUCUUAGGAAACAACACCGUUUAAGGUAAUUUUAAGUCUCGUUUGCGGCGUUUUUAAAAAAAAAAUGCCUCUAUUGUAUUCACAUUUGCGGCGUUUUAGACAAAAAUGCCACUAAUAUUUUAAAGCACGUAAAGAAACGGCGCCGUUUUAAUAAAUUAUAGUGCCUGUUCUGGCGUUUUCUGAAAAAAUGCCACAAAAAUUAAUUACCUGAAUUAAACCGACAUCGUUUUUACAAACACUUAUAUAUUCUUACGGUGUUUUCAAUAAAACGCCAGUAACAGAUUCUAUUCUUCCACUGAAACGGCACCAUUUUUCCAAAUUUUAAAUUUUAUCCAUAAACUGAAACGACGUCGUAUCAAAACAGCUUGGAAAUUUUUUGUGGCGUUUUUAUAAUGUCUACCUUUAGCGGCGUUUUUGGCAAAAACGCCACUAAGGAAUUUAAAUUCUUUUACCAAAACGGUGCCGUUUUGGAAAAUUUGUAUAUAUAGUAGCGGCGUUUUUUCUAAAAACGCCGCUAAAUUUCACAUUAUUUAUUUAUUUAUUGUAUUUUCUUUAAAAUUUUUAGUAAAUAAUUUAUUCAAUUACUCAAAUAUAUAAAGUUAUUUAAGAAUUAUAUUCCGAAUUUUAAUAGUUUAAAACAAUUGCAUUUGCGGAAUAGCAAUUCUUAAAUUUAAACAUCAAAUAAUGUAAUAAGCUGCAAAGUCAAGUGCAAAUUUAGCUAAAAUGGUAAAUAAAACUCCCUUCUAAACAUGAAAAAUAAUAAUUAAACUAUACAACUAAAAUAUAACCAAAAAAAUUAAACUAUACAAAAAAAAAAUAUAACCAACUUAAAGAUCCAGCUAGCAAUCUGUUUUGUUCUUUUUUAUUUUUGCCUUUCAAUAAAUUAGCCUUUCUGGGUUGCCUGACCCAUCAUCACGUUUGUAUAUUGUACAUACAGAUGUUGGAACCGAUAUUUCCCAAUGGAGGACUUCUGCAUCUUGGUUACUAGGAAUAUUCCAAAUUUACCUCACCUAUAUUAACCCAAAUUUAAAGCCGAGCCAAUCUGACUUGAUAAGUUAACAACUCAAAUACAUUUAAGCAUAACUUCAAUUCAUUUCAACUGAAAUGGAUUAAACCUAAUACUUAUCGGGAGUAAAAAAAAGUAAUUCCCAUGCGCAAAAAAUAUUCAACAAAUUUGUAAUGAUAAAUGACAGGAAGUUGAAAUUAUUCAAACAAACCGGAUAAAUGACUGGAAGUUGAAAUUAUUCAAACAAACCGGAUAAAUGACAAGAUUAUCUAAGUUCAAAAGCUUCAGCUUUAAACUCAAAUAGAUGAAAUCCGUAAUGAUUUCAACUCAAAAAAUAUUCAACAAAUUUGUAAUUAACAUGCGCAAAAAAUGUCAAAUGAAUAAAUAUUAGAACCCAUCAAUAAUUUAUUCCUUCUGCUGAAAAUUAUUUCAUUCAAAUUGCCCAUUCCCAAUUGAUUCAUUCCAAAUAAACAAAACCCUGAAUCCCAAAUAAACAAAACCCUAAAAUUUUAUUUUUAUGACAGAAUCGGUUUAAUCGAAACCCUAAAUCCCAAAUAAACAAAACCCUAAAAUUUUAAUCGGUCAUCGACAGAAAUGGCUUACCUGUGAUACAAAUCUCGCAGCUUUGCCCAACAAUGGUGUAAAGAUCGAUUCCAAACUUCUGUUGAUUCCUGAGAUGUCGGCUCCUUUUUUUUUCUUGCUAUUUUUUUAUUUUCUUCCCUGUCGAAUCGCUGCUGUUACUCUGCUUAAGUUUCUUCAAAUUUUGGUAAAGGAGACGGAGGGGAGGGAUUAAGUAAAUAUGUCCUCUUAGGAAACAACACCGUUUAAGGUAAUUUUAAGUCUCGUUUGCGGCGUUUUUAAAAAAAAAAUGCCUCUAUUGUAUUCACAUUUGCGGCGUUUUAGACAAAAAUGCCACUAAUAUUUUAAAGCACGUAAAGAAACGGCGCCGUUUUAAUAAAUUAUAGUGCCUGUUCUGGCGUUUUCUGAAAAAAUGCCACAAAAAUUAAUUACCUGAAUUAAACCGACAUCGUUUUUACAAACAUUUAUAUAUUCUUACGGUGUUUUCAAUAAACGCCAGUAACAGAUUCUAUUCUUCCACUGAAACGGCACCAUUUUUCCAAAUUUUAAAUUUUAUCCAUAAACUGAAACGACACCAUUUUUCCAAAUUUUAAAUUUUAUCCAUAAACUGAAACGACGUCGUAUCAAAACAGCUUGGAAAUUUUUUGUGGCGUUUUUAUAAUGUCUACCUUUAGCGGCGUUUUUGGCAAAAACGCCACUAAGGAAUUUAAAUUCUUUUACCAAAACGGUGCCGUUUUGGAAAAUUUGUAUAUAUAGUAGCGGCGUUUUUUCUAAAAACGCCGCUAAAUUUCACAUUAUUUAUUUAUUUAUUGUAUUUUCUUUAAAAUUUUUAGUAAAUAAUUUAUUCAAUUACUCAAAUAUAUAAAGUUAUUUAAGAAUUAUAUUCCGAAUUUUAAUAGUUUAAAACAAUUGCAUUUGCGGAAUAGCAAUUCUUAAAUUUAAACAUCAAAUAAUGUAAUAAGCUGCAAAGUCAAGUGCAAAUUUAGCUAAAAUGGUAAAUAAAACUCCCUUCUAAACAUGAAAAAUAAUAAUUAAACUAUACAACUAAAAUAUAACCAAAAAAAUUAAACUAUACAAAAAAAAAUAUAACCAACUUAAAGAUCCAGCUAGCAAUCUGUUUUGUUCUUUUUUAUUUUUGCCUUUCAAUAAAUUUGCCUUUCUGGGUUGCCUGACCCAUCAUCACGUUUGUAUAUUGUACAUACAGAUGUUGGAACCGAUAUUUCCCAAUGGAGGACUUCUGCAUCUUGGUUACUAGGAAUAUUCCAAAUUUACCUCACCUAUAUUAACCCAAAUUUAAAGCCGAGCCAAUCUGACUUGAUAAGUUAACAACUCAAAUACAUUUAAGCAUAACUUCAAUUCAUUUCAACUGAAAUGGAUUAAACCUAAUACUUAUCGGGAGUAAAAAAAAGUAAUUCCCAUGCGCAAAAAAUAUUCAACAAAUUUGUAAUGAUAAAUGACAGGAAGUUGAAAUUAUUCAAACAAACCGGAUAAAUGACUGGAAGUUGAAAUUAUUCAAACAAACCGGAUAAAUGACAAGAUUAUCUAAGUUCAAAAGCUUCAGCUUUAAACUCAAAUAGAUGAAAUCCGUAAUGAUUUCAACUCAAAAAAUAUUCAACAAAUUUGUAAUUAACAUGCGCAAAAAAUGUCAAAUGAAUAAAUAUUAGAACCCAUCAAUAAUUUAUUCCUUCUACUGAAAAUUAUUUCAUUCAAAUUGCCCAUUCCCAAUUGAUUCAUUCCAAAUAAAUAAAACCCUGAAUCCCAAAUAAACAAAACCCUAAAAUUUUAUUUUUAUGACAGAAUCGGUUUAAUCGAAACCCUAAAUCCCAAAUAAACAAAACCCUAAAAUUUUAAUCGGUCAUCGACAGAAAUGGCUUACCUGUGAUACAAAUCUCGCAGCUUUGCCCAACAAUGGUGUAAAGAUCGAUUCCAAACUUCUGUUGAUUCCUGAGAUGUCGGCUCCUUUUUUUUUCUUGCUAUUUUUUUUAUUUUCUUCCCUGUCGAAUCGCUGCUGUUACUCUGCUUAAGUUUCUUCAAAUUUUGGUAAAGGAGACGGAGGGGAGGGAUUAAGUAAAUAUGUCCUCUUAGGAAACAACACCGUUUAAGGUAAUUUUAAGUCUCGUUUGCGGCGUUUUUAAAAAAAAAUACCUCUAUUGUAUUCACAUUUGCGGCGUUUUAGACAAAAAUGCCACUAAUAUUUUAAAGCACGUAAAGAAACGACGCCGUUUUAAUAAAUUAUAGUGCCUGUUCUGGCGUUUUCUGAAAAAAUGCCACAAAAAUUAAUUACCUGAAUUAAACCGACAUCGUUUUUACAAACACUUAUAUAUUCUUACGGCGUUUUCAAUAAAACACCAGUAACAGAUUCUAUUCUUCCACUGAAACGGCACCAUUUUUCCAAAUUUUAAAUUUUAUCCAUAAACUGAAACGACGUCGUAUCAAAACAGCUUGGAAAUUUUUUGUGGCGUUUUUAUAAUGUCUACCUUUAGCAGCGUUUUUGGCAAAAACGCCACUAAGGAAUUUAAAUUCUUUUACCAAAACGGUGCCGUUUUGGAAAAUUUGUAUAUAUAGUAGCGGCGUUUUUUCUAAAAACGCCGCUAAAUUUCACAUUAUUUAUUUAUUUAUUGUAUUUUCUUUAAAAUUUUUAGUAAAUAAUUAUUAAAAUUUUAAGUAAUAUUUAAAAGUUUUUGAUAAAAUUAUAAAUUUUAGUUUUUUAUUUCCUUUUUAUAUUUUUUUUGUUUUUUCUUAUAUUUUGGUCCUGUCCAAAUUAAAUAAUUAAUUACCUAUAUAUAUAUUCAUAUAAAAAAUAUCAAAUUGUUAAGGUUAAAUAUUAUUAAGCACAUAUUUAAUAUAUAAAUUAAUAAAACUAAUUAAUCUGAGCUUAAACCUUAAUCUCUAAACCUUAAAUCACUAACUCUUAACCUUUAACCCUAAACCCCAAACCCCUACCCUUAAACCCUAAACAUUGUUUAAUAUAUAAAUUAAAAAACACUAAUUAAUCUAAAUCCUAAACCCUAAAUUGACCCCGAAUCACUAACCCCUAACCCCUAAACAUUAUUUAAUAUAUAAAUUAAAAAACACUAAUUAAUCUAAAUCCUAAACCCUAACUCGACCCCGAAUCACUAACCCUUAACCCCUAAAUAUUAUUUAAUAUAUAAAUUAAAAAACACUAAUUAAUCUAAAUUAACCCUAAAUCCCUAACCCCUAAACAUUAUUUAAUAUUAUAUAAUUUAAAAUAUAUUAAUUAGUCUAAACCCUAAACUCUAACCUAACACUGAAUCCAUAAACCCUAAACUUCUAACCUUUAACCUCUAACUCUAACCCCUAACCCCUAAAUAAACCUUAAAUCACAACCCUUAAAUCAAAAUCCCUAAUUCCAUAAUCUAUAAACCUUAAAAUUGUAACUCUUAAACCGGCCCUACUAAAUCCUAAAUUAACCAUAUAUAUAUACCCUAAACUAUAAUGAUAAUUAAAUUAAAUAUUUUAAAAUUAAUACUAUCGUAUCUUUUACAAUUAUAUUUGAAAUUAUUUAAUAUAUAAAUUAAAAAUCAAUCAAUUAUGUACCCAAAAAAAUUUAAAAUUAUUUUAAAUAAUAGUAUUUUAAUUUCUCCAUUUUUAACAAAUAUUUUUCUAUGUUUUUUUUAUUUCAAAUUAUUUCUACGUGUCAUUAUUUCAAAUUUAUCUAUUUUUAACAAAUAUUCAAUUAAAAAUAAAUUGGAUUUUAAUUAAUAUAAAUAAACAAAUUACAUAGCAAAUAGAUAGAUAAAAUGUUUUUGCGGCGCUUCCUUAAAAAAUGCCGCUAAAGGUACGAGCAUUAGCGGCGCUUAUUAAAAAACGCCACUAAAGACCUGAGCACACUACACCAAAACAGGCUUUUAGCGGCACAUUUUGUGGCGUUUAGAUAGAAAACGCCGCUAAAAAAUGAGAAAUAACGGCGCUUCAUAUAAAACGCCACAAAAAUAUAAUUAGUGGCGUUUUUUUAAAAAACGCCGCAAAAAUCGAAACCCAACGACGCCGUUUUCUAACUUUUCGGGGGCUUUAGCGGCGUUUUUAUGUAAGCGCCGCUAAUGUUCUGGGAUUUAGCGGCGUUUUGUUUUAAGCGCCGCUAAUGUUCUGGGAUUUAGCGGCAUUUUUAUUUAAGCGCCGCUAAUGUUCUGGGAUUUAGUGGCGUUUUUAAUUAAGCGCCGCUAAUGUUCUGGGCUUUAGCGGCGUUUUUAUUGAUGCACCGCUAAUUCGCAGGCCUUUAGCGGCGCUUUUUUAAAAAACGCCGCUAAUGCUCUUCAUUUAGUGGCAUUUUUGGAAAGAGCCGCAAAAAAAUUAUUUACCUAUUUAUUAUUUAAUUGAUUUAUUUAUAUUAAUUAAAAUUAGAUGUUUUCAUUUAAGUUACCAUUAAGCUGUUAAAAUCGACGCCGGCCAUAUGGCUUUCUCAAAACCCUUUAACCCUAAAUUUAUAAUUCUUAAAACCUUAAACCCCUAAAAAUUUCAAAAAAAUAUAUUAAUGUAAAAGCUUAUAUAUGUUUAUAAACAUGAUGUACAUGUAUAUACAUAGAUAUAUAUAUUAAUGUAAAAGCUUGUAUAUGUUUAUAAAAAAUUGUGGAAGCAGUACUUAAUAUUGAUUAUAAAUUUUGGGGUUUAGGGUUUAAUUGAUGGUUUAAGGGCUAUAGUAUGUAGUUUAAGGGUUUUAUAGUUUAAGGUUUAAUGUUUACUAUAGUAUGUAGUUUAAGGGUUUUAUAGUUUAUGGUUUAGGGUUUGUUAUAUUGGGUUUGUGAUUUAGUGUUUUAAAGUUUGGAGUUUAGUUUUUAUAGUCAGAGUCUUAGUGUUUAAUUAUGGUUUUAAGGGCCGGUUAGGGUAUUAGGGUUUAAGGGUUAGGGAUUUUGGUAAAAAAUAUAAAGUUAUUUUAGGGUUCAAACAAGCAAUAAGAUUCUUUUUAAUUACUUUUAAUUGUAACUUAUAAUAUAUAUUAUGGUUUAAAGUUUAUGGUGUUAGGGUACAUUUUGUGUUUAGUAUUUUAGGUUCAGUGGUUAAUGUUGUUAUUUGGAUUUAGGGUUUACGAUUUAGGGUAUGGUUUAUGGUAUAGUUUUUAAUUGUUAGUGUCUUAUUGUUUAUGGCUGUAACGGUUUAAGGUUUAUAAAAAAUGACAAAAAUUAAUUUAAUUUUAGUGUUUAUGCAUUAUUGGCGUUUUAGUAAAAAAUGCCACAAAUAUGUCACAGUAUGCAAAACGAUGACGUAUUAUUUUGUGUUUCUAGUGGCGUUUAUAGAAAACGCCGCAAAUUUGUUUCAGAAAUGGCAAAACGUUGCGUUUUGAUCUGUGUUCUUAGUGGCGUUUUCUACAAAACGCCGCAAAAUGAUAGAAAUUAGUGGCGCUUUUUUAAGCUGCGCCACAAAAUUUGUGCCUGAUACUACAAAACGGUACGUUUUGAUGCAAAAUUUUAGUGGCGUUUUUUCGUAAAACGCUGUUAAAGGACUAUGCUUUAGUGGCGCUUUAGCAGAAAACGCCACAAAAUAGGUUUUAAUAGUUUCUCAAACGGUGCCGUUUGUUCCUAUGAUUUUAGUGGCGCUUAUUAAGAAACGCCACAAUAUUUAAUUAAAACUAACAUAAACGACAUCGUUUUAUUAGCCCUGAAUUUCCUUUAAUUUCCCCCAUGUCAGAUUUCCCCGAUUUUGAAUGUUCAUUGCUUGUUUGAAUAUAUGGAGAGUAAUUUUAAAAGUUGUUUUGUAUUUAUAUAUAUAUGUAUACUUUUAUAAUAUAAAAAUGAAAUGAAUAAUAAUAAUUUAAUAGGGAUGAAUCUAGUUUAAGUUUAAAAUGGCAUUAAUAAGGUAAAUUAUACAAUCGGUAAUCCAAUUUUUAUAAGUUUUCAUUUUAAUAUCUUAUUUUAUCUUUUUUCAAUUUUAGUUUUUAUGUUUUGGCUUUAAUUUCAAUUUUAUUUUUUUAUGAUUCGGAAUCAAAAAUAAAAUCAUUCAGGAUCGAAUUCAAGUCUUCAUGUCUAAAAAUGAACCAAAGUCAAGGGAAACCUUGGAUUUUACAGGUACAAACUUGGAUUUUACAAGGAAUUAUUUGAAUUUCUAUAGAAAAACCAAUUUAUAUACGUAUUUUUAUAAUUUCCCUUUUUUUAGAAAUAAUUUUAUUUUAGUGUUUAUUAAAAAAGACAUGUGGAAUUGAUUUUAUUUUAGUGUUGAUGCAUUAGUGGCGUUAUUGUAAAAAACGCCACAAAUAUGUCACAGUAUGCAAAACGAUGACGUUUUAAAUUUUGUUACUAGUGGCGUUUAUAGAAAACGCCGCAACUUUGUUUCAGAAAUGGCUAAACAGUGCGUUUUGAUCUGUGUUCUUAGCGGCGUUUUUACCAAACGCCGCAAAAGGAUAGAAAUUACUGGCGUUUUUUUAAAUUGCGCCGCAAAUUUAGGCCUUGAUACUGCGGAACGGUACGUUUUGAUGCAAAAUUUUAGUGGUGUUUUUUGUAAAACGCCGUAAAAGGACUAUGCUUUAGUGGCGCUUUAGCAGAAAACGCCACAAAUAGGUUUUAAUAGUUUCCCAAACGGUGCCGUUUUUCUUAUGCUUUAGUGGCGCUUUUUAAGAAACGCCACAAAAUUUAAUUAUACUAACCUAAACAUCGUCGUUUUAUUAACCCCGAAUUCCUUUACUUUGUCCCCCAAUUCAGAUUUACCCGAUCGACAAAAUUUCCCCCAUUUCCUUUCGCUGUUUCCCCUAAAUUUCCCUAGGUUAUUCUUCCCUAAAUUUUUUUCCCCAAUCCUGAAACUUGCAAUCCCAUUGUGAUCCAAACCCCCAAUUCCCCAAAUCCCAUUAUUUCUCAUCCGGUUCGUCCAUGCUACUUCCAUUUUCUCCCAAACCGAAACUGUUUCCUUUCAAAAUUUAAAUCUUCCAAUCCGCCGUAAAGCUCGAAUCUUUAACCCAAAGGUGUUGGAACUGCGUCGCAUACAAGACAGGAACAACGCCGUUACUCUAUUUUGGUUCCUGCAUUCGACCCCUUGCUUAUUCUCGAUUUUGGGGUGUAAGUGUUCUUCCUUCUUUUUCCCGGUAGUAUAGAAUUUUAAUUUAAUUUUUUGUUGAAUUAGUAUUAUCAUUAUAAUAAUCCCUUCUCUGUUAUAAAUAUUGGUUGCAGUUAAUUAGUUAAAUGUUGUACUUAAUUAAAUUAUUAUCUACAACAAUCCAUUUGUGUAAAAGUUUAUUUUUAUUGCAAUGAAAAAUAUAGUUCAUCUAAUAUUAUAAGUUUAGAGCAGGUUAAGCCGCAUAUCAAUUUUGAGUAAAUUUUAUCAAAAACCUAAUACUUUUACGAUUUAAAAAUUGAAUUGUAAUUUGAUUUUUUUAAAUUUUAAAAACACCUUAGAAACACUUCUAAGCAUCUGUGGACAAAAGUCAAACCUCUUAUAUUUCAUUUUCGGUAAAAUGACAUGUAAGAAAGGUUCAAGUAAGUUGUAGCAUGGUGCCUUGCUUUCUGCUUUAAUGUAAAUAUUUUGCUGAUGUUUAAGGAAAUUGUUGGUUCUAUUUAUAAAAAAGAACAGUCAACAGUUACUGCAGGAGUGCGGUUUUGGGUUGCCAUAAUGAUAAACUAUGAAUUUGGAUUCCAUCUUUUAAAAACUCCUGUUUAUAUAUUCUAAUUGUAUUUUGUAUUUUGGAAAUCGUAAAACUGUUUAUUUGUUAUUGGUUAUUGUUAUUUACCAUGUGUAGGUCUAAGUAUAUCAUAAAACUAGAGGCAUUCGUAUGUCUAUUUUAUAUGUUAAUGGGAAUUAUUAUUGAAGUUGCAGUUGUUUAUGCACCGAGCUACCGAAAACAAAUACUAUUUUUGUUUGACUAAGUUUUAUCUUAGUAGUUUUCUACCCUUAGAUUUGACUAAGUUUUAUCCUCUAUAAUAUUUUUUGUAUUCUUGUAUAUAUUCUGACUUGUUAAUACUUGUCGGCAGCCCUCUGCUGCAUUUAAUCAGUUACUGCUUCCUGCUCCUCCUGCAACUAUAUUGGUUCAACUGAAGCUGGCAUUUAAUCUUCGAAUUGUGGAAUGGUAGUGAUAUUAAUAAAGUUUUUAUAUUUGGUUCAACUGACUUACAUAAUAUUUUCAUGUGCUAAUCGUAUAAUCUUACAUCUGUCCUAGGUACUAUCGAGCACCUGAAUUAAUAUUUGGUGCAACCGAAUACACCUGAAUUAAUAUUGCUUGGGCAGGUACACGAUUCGUUGCAAAAUUUAUUUGCUUAUUUAUAUGCAUUUUCCCUUUAAAUUACUCAACAAAUACCAUUUUUCUGACUGCAGCCUCUGUUUGCCAGUAAGAGUGGAGUAGUCCAGGGUGUUGAAAUUAUUAAGGUACCUUUUAGUUCAAAAUUCUAAUCAAUAAUAGUUUUAUCAUGAUGAUUUCUGAAAAUUUAAUCUUUUGGGGCUCCGAUUAUGUAUAGAUUUAAUUGUUGGAUUUCCUUUCAAUUAUUUGGACUAAUUGAUAUGGUGGUAUUAUGGUGGUGCAUGCUGCUACUGCCGCUUAUUUUUUAAUAUAUAAUCAUUCAUCUAUUACAAGUCUCUAUUUAAUUUAUUUAAGGAAAGAAUGCACAUUUAUUUAAUUCACCCAAAUACCAUAAAUAUUUUGGGAAAAAAUGUCUCAGAUAAUGGAGCAAAUUUAGACAGUAGUAUAAUGUGGAAUAUUUGAUUUGAUUUUGUAUAGAUUUUGUAUAUUAAUGUAUAGGGACUAAUUGAUGAUACUUUUACUAAAGGAAUCUAAAUAUAAUGUUUUCAUGUGCCCUGCCAUCAGCAUUGCCGUUAAUUACAGCAUCGAUUACUGCAUAGGAUUCGUAUGACCCAAAUUAAAUAAAUAAUUAAAUUACAUAAUUUUAUAAAAUUGGGAGUAUCCUUUUCUAAUCUAAUUUCUUUUCACAUUUAACUUUCAUUCAUAUCGAUUAUGAUACCCUGUUUAAAUCUUCUUCCAUUUGUCAACUAUUUCAUUUCCAAAAUCCGUUUGUCAACUAUUUCAUUUCCAAAAAUAUAUUUUGGUUUGUUCUCUUUUAUUUUUUAUUUACCUAAUUAAAUAAAUUUUAUUUAAAGUUAUAUUUUAAAUAUUUUAAUUUAUUUUAAUCACGAAUUUUUUAAAAUAUAUUUUUUUAAAGUUCAAAUUUCAUAACUUACGUAUUUUACAUAAUUUACAUAAUUCAUAAUUUACAAAAUUUAAAUAUAUAAUACUUGGUUCUACAUAACUUAUUAAUAUUUAUAUAUAGUUUUAAUACAUAUAAUUUUAAAAUUAUAUAUCCUACAUAAUAUCCUAACUUACAUAGUAUCGUACAUAAUAACUUACAAAAACUUACAUAAUAACCUACAUAAUAACUUAUAUAACAAUACAUAACCUACAUAAAUUAAAAAAGUUCUACGCAUAACACACAAAAACAAUAACUUACAUAACUUACAUAAAUUAAAUAACUUACAUAACUUACAUAAACUUGCAUAAAUUAAAUAACUUGCAUAAAUUAAAUAACUUACAUAACUUACAUAACCUACAUAACUUACAUAAAUUAAGUAACUUUACGGAAACUUACAUAACUUACAUAACCUACAUAACUUACGUAAAUUAAGUAACUUACAUAACUUACAUAAACUUGCAUAAAUUAAAUAACUUACAUAACUUACAUAACCUACAUAACUUACAUAAAUUAAGUAACUUUACGGAACUUACAUAACUUACAUAACCUACAUAACUUACGUAAAUUAAGUAACUUACAUAACUUACAUAACCUACAUUAGAGGUGCUCGCCCGGCCCGAUGGCCCGCCCGAAAUAUGGGAGGGUUUAGGUAAAAAUAUAGGCCCGAAAUAUGGGCUUGGGCAAAAAAACGAGGCCCGUUUAAAAAACGGGCCGGGCCUCGGGCACCACUUUUUCGGCCCGGCCCGGCCCGAUAUAAUAAAUAUAGUUAUUUUUUUAAAUUUUAAAAUAUUUUUUACAUACUUUUUUAAUUUUUUUUAAAUUUUAAAAUAUUUUUAAAAUACUUUUUUUACUUUUUUUAAUUUUUUUAAUUUUAAAAUAUUUUAAAAUACUUUUUUAAUUUUUUUUAAUUUUAAAAUUUUUUUAAAAUAUUUUUAAAAUACUUUUUAAAAUACUUUUUAAAAUUUUUAAAAAAUUUUAAAAUAAAAAUGGGCCGGGCGGGGCCGGGCCCGGGCUUAUGAUUUUUUCCCGGGCCGGGCCUGAGCAAAAUCUUAGGCCCAUAUUUCGGGCCGGGCCGAGCCCGGGCCCGGGCCUAGGAUCCGGGCCGAAAUUUUUUUAUGGGCCCGGCACGAACCCGGCCCAGCCCGACCCAUGAGCACCUCUAACCUACAUAAAUAAAAUAACUUACAUAACUUACAUAACCUACAUAACUUACAUAACUUACAUAAACUUGCAUAAAUUAAAUAACUUACAUAACGUACAUAAAUUAAAUAACUUACAUAAAUUAAGUAACUUACAUAACUUACAUAAACUUGCAUAAAUUAAAUAACUUGCAUAAAUUAAAUAACUUACAUAACUUACAUAACCUACAUAACUUACAUAAAUUAAGUAACUUUACGGAACUUACAUAACUUACAUAACCCACAUAACUUACGUAAAUUAAGUAACUUACAUAACUUACAUAACCUACAUAAAUAAAAUAACUUACAUAACUUACAUAAAUUAAAUAACUUACAUAACUUACAUAAACUUGCAUAAAUUAAAUAACUUACAUAACUUACAUAACGUACAUAAAUUAAAUAACUUGCAUAACUUACAUAAAUUAAGUAACUUACAUAACUUACAUAAACUUGCAUAAAUUAAAUAACUUACAUAACUUACAUAACCUACAUAAAUUUCAAUGGGUUACAUAACUUACAUAACCUAUAUAAAUUAAAUAACUUACAUAACUUACAUAAAUUAAGUAACUUACCCGUGCAAAUUCUUGUCAACGUCAGACUUCAAGAAUUAAGAAAUGGACCGGUCUUGGAUGAAUUUGUCAAGGGUUAGCAACGACUAUCGAAAUGGAGUACAGUAUUUUCUAAAUUUUGCAUUUCAAUAUGCAAGCCAAGAGAACAUGAUUCUUUGCCCCUGUAAGAAGUGUGUCAACAUAAACUGGCAUUAUCGUGAGGUUGUAUACGAGCAUCUAAUUGUUGAUGGGUUUAUUCGGGGUUAUAAACAAUGGUUAUUUCAUGGAGAAUGUCCGCCUAGUACUUCCUCUUCAAAAAUGGAUGUGUCUUAUUCUGGUACUGCUUACCAUCAGUCUGAUAGAGGGGAUGACAUGGAAGGUAUGUUGCGGGAUGCAUUUAAUAUGCACAAUCAUGGUGUCCAGUCGUUCCCAGCGGACUUUGUGACUUCCGAGGAUUGUAAUAUUGGGAGAAAUGCUUUUACCGAACCGGGAAGUAGUGUACCUCAUGAAGAGCCGAAUGAAGAAGCGGCGAAGUUCUACGCGCUACUUAAUGACAUGAACGAAGAACUGUAUGAGGGAUCAAAAUUUUCAAAAAUGUCUUUCUCUGUUCGUCUUUUUCAGUUAAAAUGUUUGGGAGGGUGGACCGGAAACUCGUUGACAAUGCUGUUAGAGUUUUUACGAGAAAUGUUUCUGUUUGCAAAAAUCCCUCAGUCAUGCAAAGAUAUGAAGAAAAUGAUAAAAGAUUUAGGCCUUGGGUACAACAAAAUCCAUAGUUGCCAAAAUGACUGUAUGUUGUAUUGGGGCGAGAGAAAUGACCAACAGUGCUGUCAUGUAUGCGGCCAAUCCCGUUGGAUUAGUAGAAACACAGAAGAUGGGAAGGACGAUGAAAAUGAUGCACAGUCGAAAAAGAAGCCAGUCAAGAUUUUGCGGUAUUUUCCCCUGAUACCAAGGCUUCAAAGGUUAUUCAUGUCGUCUAAGACAGCGGAGUCAAUGACGUGGCACCAUGAUGGACGAACCGAUGAUGGAUUACUAAGGCAUCCGGCAGAUUCUUUAGCUUGGAAAUCAUUUGACAAUAAAUUUCCAGGCUUUACAAGCGAUCCUAGGAGUGUGAGGCUUGGGCUAGCAUCUGAUGGAUUUAAUCCUUUCAAGAUCAUGAGCACUGCGUACAGUACUUGGCCAGUAGUGCUUGUUCCUUAUAAUCUGCCUCCGUGGAUUUGCAUGAAGCAAUCUUCCCUUAUCUUAUCUAUGAUUAUCCCUGGUGAGAAAGGGCCCGGGAAUGAUAUCGACAUUUAUUUACAGCCACUUAUUGAAGAGUUAAAACAAUUAUGGGCUGGUGUCGAGACAUAUGAUGUGGUGAGAAAGGAGAACUUUAAUUUACGUGCGGCUUUGAUGUGGACCAUUAAUGACUUUCCUGCUUAUGCCAAUUUAUCUGGUUGGAGUACCAAGGGUCGUUAUGUGUGUCCUUGUUGUGCUGCACAAAUAUGUUCGCAAUGGUUGUACAAUGGGAAGAAGUUUUCUUACAUGGGGCAUCGUCGGUGGUUACCGGAAAAUCAUAGAUUUAGAUUUCCGAGUUCUGUAUUUGACGGCACUGAAGAGUUCAGAGAAGCUCCUUCCCAGACCAGUGGCUCUGAAAUCUUGUUCAUGUUGGAAGAUAUGAAUUUUAUAUAUGGGAAGAUAAACCAACCGCCAAACACACAGAGAAACAAAAGAUCAAAUGAUGAAGCUGAUGAAAGCUCUGACGAAGAGGACGAUCCCAAUGAGGCGGACUUGUGGAAAAAAAGAAGUAUUUUUUUUUGAGUUGCCUUAUUGGGAGCUUCACCUUUUACGACACAAUCUUGAUGUUAUGCACAUUGAGAAAAAUGUCUGCGAGAACAUUGUGGGUACAAUUUUGAACGUCGAUAGAAAAUCAAAAGACAAUCUUCAGAGUCGACUUGAUUUAGUCCAAAUGAGAAUCCGACCUGAUCUUCAUCCCAAUCCACUCCCGAAUGGGAAAUAUCGGUUGCCGCCUUCUAUUUUUUCAAUGUCGAAGACGGAAAAAGACGUGUUUUGCACGGUGUUGAAGGAUAUAAAGGUUCCAGAUGCGUAUGCAUCAAAUAUAUCUCGAUGUGUUAGUGUUAAAGAUUGAAGAUUAUAUUCGCUAAAAUCACAUGACUAUUACAUCUUGAUGCAAGAUUUACUGCCAGUUGCUCUACGAUGUUGUAUGUCGAAGAAGGUAACGUCUUGUAUAAUUGAACUGUCCAAUAUAAUGAAAGCCAUUUAUGGAAAAUUUUUGGAUGUUCAAGAACUUCAGAAGGUACAAGAUCGAGCUGCUUUGACUUUAUGCAACUUGGAGAAAAUCUUCCCACCUUCUUUCUUCACUAUUAUGGUUCACUUGAUAAUCCAUCUCCCGCAUGAAGCAAUUCUUGGCGGACCCGUUUUCUAUCAAUGGAUGUAUCCCAUAGAAAGGUGUUAAUUUAUUUUUAAAAUUUUUCCUCAUUCACCUAAAGUUGUUUUAGUUACAACUUUUGAUAAUUUGUAUAUUGUUUUUAGGUUCCUAUCCAAACUAAAGUCUUAUUGUCGCAACAAGCGUUAUCCAGAAGGAUCGAUUGCUGAAGGCUACUUGGCAGAAGUAUGACCUUCUGUUCAAGAUAUUUGGAAGAUGUUGAAACAAGGUUGAACAGACCAAGUAGAAAUGCUGGACUCACGGAACAUAACUCUGCCGAUUCUUAUCUGUUCCAAAGUUUUGGAGAACCAAUCGGCAAAGUUGAUAUUACAGAAUUAGAUGAUUUAUCGUGGGUACAAGCACAUCGAUAUGUUCUGUUUCACCAUGAAUCAAUGGAACCAUUACGGAAGUAAGUUGUAGAAAUUUGAUAAAUAUUCAUCAAUCCAAAAUUGUUUAUAUUCUAACAAAGUGAACAUUUUUUAACAUAGUGAGUACAAACAAAUAUUGUGAUCUCGUUCGCGCUCCCGAAGAACACAACAUCGAGAUAUCAAUAAGUUGUUCACUGAAACUUUUCAUGAAUGGUUAAGCCAAACGGUAUGUAAUUGGAGCUUCAUUUAAAAAUAAUAAAGUUUUCUCAUUACAUUUUUAAUUAUUCAGUUUACUUUCCAUUCACUAGGUUUGGAGUGGGAAGAAUGUGAAUGAAGAAGUUAAAUGGCUUUCCCAUGGUCCAAAUCGAGUGGUUAAAAGAUAUAGUGCGUUCCUCAUCAACGGAUUCAGAUUUCAUACAAAAUAUCGCGAGAGAUUGAGGAGAACGCAAAAUUGUGGAAUAAUUGUUAAUUCCUCAAUUACAAAUUAUGCUAGUGCUAGGGACAAUAAUCCUGUCCAGGGAAAUGUGGAAUAUUUCGGACUUCUUACUGACAUAAUUGAGUUAGAUUACUACAGCAAAUGGAAAGUUGUCUUAUUUCGAGGUGAUUGGGCCGAUGUUAAUACUGCUCGUGGAAUUAAGCAAGAUCAAUUUGGUUUUACAAUGGUCAACUUCGCUCGAUUGAUUCACACAGGACAACAACUGAUAGAUGAGCCGUAUGUAUUCUCAUCUCAAGUCAGACAAGUUUUUUACUCAAAAGAUCCAACCGACGAGUGUUGGUACGUUGUACUUCGUAACAUCCCUAGAGACUUGUUUGAUAUGGGCAGUGGAAGUAGAGAUAAUAUCGAUGAUAGAUCAGAAACUGUGCCCUUUCCGGAACAACACUUAAACGAAAAUAUCCCUAGUACUAGUACGCAAUUUCAAUGGGUUCGCCAGGAUGCAGAUGAAGAUAUUUACGAAUAAUGAUUUAGUAAGAAUAUACGAUUGUUUAAUUAUAUGUAUAUCAUAAUUUAAAUCUUGGUCUUAUUAUAUAUUUCGACUAUUUGAUAUUCGCUGUUAUUGUUGUAAUUAGUUACUAAGUUGUCAACUAUUUUAUAUGUAUUGCAGUUCAAAAUGCCCAGAAGAAAAAUGCGAGACGUAGGCAUUGUUCAAAGUGCUCCAAACUCGGCAGAAAUAAAUAGUGAAGAACAGACAGGAAUUGGAUCUUCGAAUGUUCCGAUUAUACCUGAGGAUCCUACAGAAGUUCAAAGUAAUUUUACAUUUAAUUUACAUACGUGUUGACUUGUAAUUGGUUUAUUUUUCAAAAUCUUAUAUUAUAAUAUACCAUUUUUCAGCUAAAAAUGGUAGGACGUGCAGAGGUCGAGGUCGUACGCUACUUAGCGAGUUGUACGAGUUAGAUCCAGUCGAGCGUGUCAAAGUAUGCAGAAACAGUUUUGGUCAGCCUGUUGGAACAGAAGCUCGACUAUUAGCAGGAUACAUGGGCAUUUUAGCACGAAAUGCGAAUAUGUUGCCAAUCAACUACGACUCAUGGCAUCAAAUGCCCGAUAGUAACAAAAAUCAAGCCCUCGAUAAUAUUAAGGUAACAAAACGUUAAUGUCAUCUGUAAUACUUGGGAAUUAGUUUCACUUAUAUUUACUUUCUUAACUUGUGUUCUUUGUAGGCGAGGUUUGCCUUAGAGGUCUCGGAUGCCUAUGUAAAGAAGGCAUUGGGAAAAAGAUGGAGAGACCAUAAAAGUACUUUAAAGAGAGAUUAUUAUAAGGUAAAAACAACCCUUGAUAAGAAAUUGCAAAAUGUCCCGUCGGGUAUGCUGAGGUACCAAUGAGAAGAUGCGGUUAGAUUUUGGCAUUCGAAGAAAGGCGAGGUAUGAUGUACUUCUAAACUCUUGUAAUUAUUUUGGUUUAUUGUAUUUACUAUUUACGUACUAAUAAUUUCAUAACGUAGGAUCGUGAACGGGUUGGAAAAAACAGCAGGGAGAAACAAAAAUUCACGCACACAGUCGGGUCGAAAAGUUUUGCUUGUGUAGCUGAGGCUGAGGUAUUUUUAAUUUUUUAAUAUUGUCAAAUAUGUGUUACUUUCCAUUAAAUAAUAUUUUUACUACUAUAUUGUAGGAACGGUCGUCCGGUCAAAACGUUGGAUGCCUUCAACUUUUUGAGAUUACACAUAAGAAGAAAGAUGGAUCUCCUAUGACUCCUGAAGCUGCAGAAAUAAUUGUACGUUUACUUAAUACGAUUUUCUAAUAGUUUAAUUCAUUGCUUGUAAUGCUACUAUUUUUAACUUGUGUUGCAUUUGUUUUUUUAAUAUAUAUUGUGUUCCUAAAUAUGUGAUUUAUUUAUUAGGAGAAACUAAAUAAUAAAAAGGCAGAGUACGAAGCGAUUGCUUCUAGUGAUAGUUCUGUUCAUCUUGAAGACAUUGAUAACCGGAUUAUUACUGAAGUUAUGGGUCCUGAAAGGUAUGGUCGGGUUCGAUUUCAAUGAUCUUUUGUUAGCCCAACCCAAUAUUUUGGAUCCAACUCGCAGCAAUACAUGCGUUCGGGGAGUCAGGCUCAAGCUGAAGUUCAGAGGUUAAAAGACCAGAUGGCUCAGAUGCAAGCGACCACAGUUGAGGUUCAAAAGAAAUAUGAAGAACUCCAGCUACAACUUAGAGCAGAUGCGGCAGCGAGAGAAGCAGAGGUUCAAAAGAAAUAUGAAGAACUCCAGCAACAACUUAAAGCUGAUGCGGCAUCCAGAGAAGCAGAGGCUGCAGCGAGAGAAGCAGAGCAGAACAGAAAGUACGACGAACUCCAACAACAGCUUCAGAGUAUGAUGAAGAUGAUUCAGCACUCCCAACCUCCGUCGUCAUAGUGUAUUGUAUAAAUAUUUUUAUCAUUUUAACAUUUUUGUGAAAAUAAUAGAAUAUUGAUAUUAAUAUUAUAUUAUUCGUUUAAUUUGAAAUAUUAUAUAAAUUUAUUGCUAUUGGCUGGUCUAGAUUUAGUUGCUUUUGAUUUGUUGCUACAGGAGGGUUGAAAAAAAAAUUUGGUAUUUUUAAAAAACCCCAAAAUUAGUGGCGUUUUUUAAAAAAGCGCCGCUAAAACAACCAAACAAAAAGUGGCGUUUGUGAAAAAAGCGCCGCUAAAGAAUAUUAGCUUUGGCGGCGUUUGUGUUAGAAGCGCCGCUAAAGAACAUGUUCUUUAGCGGCGUUUGUGUAAAAAGCGCCGCUAAAGAACAUGUUCUUUAGCGGCGGUUGUGUAAAAAGCGCCGCUAAAGAACAUGUGCUUUAGCGGCGGUUGUGUAAAAAGCGCCGGUAAAGAACAUGUUCUUUAGCGGCGUUUGUGUAAAAAGCGCCGCUAAAGAACAUGUUCUUUAGCGGCGUUUGUGUAAAAAGCGCCGCUAAAGAACAUGUUCUUUUGCGGCGCUUUUAAAAAUAAACGCCGCAAAUAUUUGUGGCGUUGUCAUUAGCGGCAAUUUUAGUGGCGCUUUAGGAAGCGCCGUAAAUACUUUUAGUGGCGCUAAAAAGCGCCGCCAAAGGCUUAAAAAAAGGCCGCUAAAAACCUGUUUUGGUGUUGUGGCAUUAGCGGCGCUUAUUAAAAAACGCCGCUAAAGACUUGAGAAUUAGCGGCGCUUAUUAAAAAACGCCGCUAAAGACCUGAGCAUUAGUGGCGCUUAUUCAAAAACGCCGCUAAAGACCUAAGCAUUAGCGGCGCUUUUCAGAAAAUGCCGCUAAAGACCCCAAAAAACUCAGAAAACGGUGCCGUUGGGCUUAGGCUUUUUGCGGCGCUUUCCAAAAAACGCCGCUAAUGCUUAUUUUUAGCGGCGUUUUUUAAAAAUCGCCGCUAAUGAUCGACCUUUAGCGGCGUUUUUCCAAAAGCGCCGCUACUGCUUCAUUUUUAGUGGCGUUUUUUGUCCAAACGCUGCUAAAGGCUCCGCUAAAAGCCUGUUUUGGUAUAGUGAAUGGCUUUGAGAAUGCAUGACGAAUAAUAAUUUUCAGAUAAUCCCGGCAACCGAACCCAUACCACUUGGACUCUCACCUCAUCCUGAUUCAUCGAGAAAUCGGAUGACCAAGGACGGACUGUCAAAUAUUGCCCAAAUAUCACCCAUGAUCCAUUAGUUAACACAUUGUUGUAGCCAUCUUCCUCACUAAACCGAACCAGAAAAUAAUCAUUCUCCAAAUCCAUUAAUUGGAAUGGACUAUUUGUUUUCCACAAUAGUGUAACCCUAUUUAGCAAAGCAUUGAAUGUUAUUUUCCUAUCCAAUAGCUUAACAAUGAUUGUUUUUUUUCCAUCUUCUUCUCAAUGAAACCCUUCACCCGGUCAGAGAACGUAAUCGAUGGUAUCCCACCUACCAGUUCAGUCCUUACAUCACCAUCCUUAAUAUCAAAAUCAUCCACCAUCCGCAACUACUCCUUUGAACCGGGAGCACACAUAAGAGAAUGCUUAUAGCUCAUCUUUGGCAAUGAAUCCUCCAACACCUUCCUACCGUCCCCAUCCACUCUGGGAUCAUUUGAGUCAGGUGGUAACUCCGUUCUACGUCUAACCUUUAUCGUAACUCUAGCCACGCCUGAAUUGGAGAUAUCAGGAUUAGAACCCGACGUGAAAACCAGAGACCCACAUAAUUAUUUAAAUUUUACUUUUUAAAUAAUCACAUUUUACCGGACAAACAAGGUCAAAAAUUUAAAAUUCCUGCCAAAUAAUUAUUUUAUAGUGUUCAUUAAUGAGCGAAAAGAGAAAUAAUUCUUUGAUUCAAGACUUGGACUCCAAGUACUACGGGAUCUUCCACCACUUGGACUCCAAGUAAUAUUAAUGAUUAAAUAUUCUGUUUGGAUCUUUGUUUUUGAUGUUUUGCCACUGCCGUUCUCUUUCACAAAUAACUCUGAAUGGACUUUACUUGAGACCCACAUAAUUAUAUAUGCUGUUUCCACAGAAUAAACAAAUAAUAUGCUUAUGUAUGCUCUUGCAUCAGCAGCCUAUUGUACCUUUCUGAAAUGAUCGGACUCCACACUUGGCUGUAUAUAUAACAGAUAUUGGUACGCUAGUCUUACCAUUCACUUCACUUUUCCUUCUUUCUACUCGUAUUCCUAUGGGUUCCCAAACCCAGCAGCCUCACUUUGUGCUGUUCCCUUCCAUGGCCCAAGGCCACUUGAUCCCCAUGGUAGAUAUCGGUCGAUUGUUAGCGCAGCGUAACGUGAUUGUUACUAUAGUUACGACACCUCAUAAUGCAAGCAGAGUCCAGAAAACAAUUGAUCGAGCUGUUGAAUCAGGCCGCGCUAUCCGUUUAGUGCAGCUCCGGUUUCCAGGCAAAGAAGCAGGGUUACCAGACGGGGUUGAGAAUAUAGACAUGAUAUCUUCAAUGGAGGACUCGUUCAAAUUCUUCACUGCAGCAAACAGUAUGGACGAAGCAGUGCAGGAAUUAUUUGAGAAGCUAACACCACGCCCCAUUUGUAUUAUUUCGGACAUGUUUCUGCAUUACACCCUCAAAAUUGCUACCAAGUUUCAGGUCCCAAGGAUAUCGUUUCAUGGAAUUUGCUGCUUCUGUUAUCUUUGUGUGCACAAUCUGAAGUCCUCCAAGAUACUAGACAACGUAACAUCUGAUUACGAAUGCUUCAAGGUGCCAGGCUUGGCUGAAAAGGUCGAAUUUACUAAACCCCAGUUGCCGCUUAACCUUGAUGAAUCCUGGAAGGACGUUUUUGAUACAACAACAAAAGCUGACGAAGCAUCAUAUGGGGUUGUCAUAAAUAGUUUCGAAGAGCUGGAAUCACGAUACGUCAAAGAGUACAGGAAGAUAACAAAAGCUUGGUGCAUUGGUCCAGUUUCUCUGAGCCACAAAAAUGAGUUGGAUAAGGCUGAAAGAGGUAAGAAGGCUUCAAUCAAUGAGCAGCAGUGUUUGAAGUGGCUUGAUUCUCAGGAACCCAACUCUGUAAUUUAUGCUUGUCUUGGGAGCAUGAGCACUAUGAAAUCUCCCGAACUGAUAGAGUUGGGUUUGGGCUUGGAGGCCUCGAACAAGGCAUUCAUUUGGAUCUUAAGAGGAAAUAAUGAUGCGUCGAACCAGGUGAUGAAGUGGAUUGAAGAGGAUGGAUUUGAGGAAAGAAUAAAAGGGAGAGGAUUUGUAGUUGUGGGAUGGGCUCCCCAAGUGCUCAUUUUAUCACACCCUGCAAUAGGAGGGUUCCUAACUCAUUGUGGAUGGAACUCAACAAUCGAAGGCAUUUCUGCUGGCGUUCCAUUAUUAACAUUGCCACUUUUUGCAGACCAGUUUACCAAUGAGAGACUUGUAGUACAAAUACUAAAAAUCGGAGUGAGCGUUGGGGCCAAUGAACCUACGGCCUGGGGAGAUGAAAAAUCUGGGUUCAUGUUGAAGAAAGAACAUGUUAAAAACGCAAUAAACCAAUUGAUGAAUGAAGGAAAUGAAGGAAUAGAGAGAAGAAAACGAGCAAAAGUGUUUGGAGAGAAGGCAAAUAAAGCUGUUGAAGUAGGUGGAUCUUCUUAUCUUAAUAUGACACUACUAAUCCAAGAUAUAAUCCAACAAUCUUCAAAGAUGGGUGUGGAUAUGAUUCCAACCUCACAUCGCCAUGAGAACUAAGGAGAUAUAAUAAGAGCGAGGCUCUAUCUAAUAAGAAAACCGAGAUAACGUCAAAGAGUGAUUUAUUCGGUUGAUGUAGUUUUUUUGUUGUUGUUUUUUUGUGUUUCGUAUUAUUAUCAGU